rnacentral:sRNA from 1 species
AUAUCUCUCUGUACGGGAAGGAUGAGAAGCUUCGACUAAGGUUCGAUUCGAGCGCAGCGAGAAAGCGUUGCCGCAGGCAACGACCCGAAGGGCGAAGCGCGCAGCGCUGAGUAAUCCUUCCC